rnacentral:rRNA from 1 species
GACGUAGGACGCGAGCGUUAUCCGGAUUUACUGGGCGUAAAGCGUCUGUAGGCGGGACAGUAAGUUGGGCGUGAAAGCUUCGGGCUUAACCCGGAGAGGACGUACAAGACUGCUGAACUAGAGGCCACCAGAGGGGCGUGGAAUUUCCAGUGUAGCGGUAAAAUGCGCAGAUAUCGGAAGGAACACCAGUGGCGAAGGCGGCGCCCUGGGGUGGGCCUGACGCUAAGAGACGAAAGCUAGGGGAGCGAACAGG